UGCGCAGGCGGUUAUAUAAGACGGAUGUGAAAUCCCCGGGCUCAACCUGGGACCUGCAUUUGUGACUGUAUAGCUAGAGUACGGUAGAGGGGGAUGGAAUUCCGCGUGUAGCAGUGAAAUGCGUAGAUAUGCGGAGGAACACCGAUGGCGAAGGCAAUCCCCUGGACCUGUACUGACGCUCAUGCACGAAAGCGUGGGGAGCAAACAGGAUUAGAUACCCUGGUAGUCCACGCCCUAAACGAUGUCAACUGGUUGUUGGGUCUUCACUGACUCAGUAACGAAGCUAACGCGUGAAGUUGACCGCCUGGGGAGUACGGCCGCAAGGUUGAA
rnacentral:rRNA from 1 species